GCAGCAACGGAAAGGCGCCACGCUCGUGAGGGGAACCAGAGUUCCGGGGGCGCGUAGUGUGGGCAGGCAGGAAGCCUGGCUCCACUAGGACACACAGAUUCUCUCCUGAGCAGCUGUGAACUAUGCGCCCCUUCUACCCUUAAGAGAUGGAUUGGGAGUCCAACAAACGCAGCCAUUGCUCAGACCCCAGCCCUUCUCUCCUAUAAGAAGCAGGUUCACCUCUGCCACCGCACUCGCAUUUUUUUUUUUUUUUUAAGCCCGGCCUUUCCUAGGCGGGGUCAAGGGCCCCGCCCACCGAAGCCACGCCCAUAGCCGCCCCGGGGCGGGGCUCCCCUCGGCUCCCGGCUGCCCUUUCCCCUCCGGCCUCUGCCGGUGCUGCUGCGCCCUGCGGAGCUCCGAACACGUGCGCAGAGGCCAGCUGUGGCAGAUGCAACUGCAGGAUGACUUGAAAGUAGGGCAUCCUUCACCCAUCUGAAGAGAGGAAACAGUGGCAGGUGACAGUCUGCAUGUGCAGUUUUCAGAUGCCUUCACCUGAAUAUCAUCUACCCCCAUCACGACCCCAGAUGUCUGACAGCCCUGUGUGACACCAAGAUAAGUAAUAUAUGUAGUCUUCUUGUCAUGUAGGUUCCAAUUAAAUUACUGCAGCUCAGACGGGGGUAGGGUGCUUAAAAUUAUGAUUUGAAAAAUUAUGUAGAGUAUCAGAAUUUUUUUUUCUUUUUUUUUUUUUCUUUUUUUUGAGACGGAGUCUUGCUCUGUUGCCCAGGCUGGAGUGCAGUGGCUCGAUCUCGGCUCACUGCAACCUCCGCCUCCCGGGUUUAAGCGAUUCUUCUGCCUCAGUCUCCCAAGUAGCUAGGACUACAGGCACCUGCCACCAUGCCAGGCUAAUUUUUUUAUUUUAAGUAGAGAUGGGGGUUUCACCAUAUUGGCCAGGCUGGUCUCAAACUCCUGACCUUGUGAUUUGCCUGCCUCGGCCUCCCAAAAUGCUGGAAUUACAGGGUUUUUUUGUUUGUUUUUUGAGACAGAGUCUCACUCUGUCACCCAGGCUGGAGUGCAAUGGUGCGAUCUUGGCUUACUGCAACCUCUACCUCCUGGGUUCAAUCGAUUCUCCUGCCUCGGCCUCCU